rnacentral:tRNA from 1 species
GCCUGGGUGGUUCAGUCGGUUAAGCGUCUGACUUUGGCUCAGGUCAUGAUCUCACGGUUCGUGAGUUCGAGCCCCACAUCGGGCU